rnacentral:rRNA from 1 species
UGGGGAAUCUUGCGCAAUGGGCGAAAGCCUGACGCAGCAACGCCGCGUGGGGGAUGAAGGCUCUCGGGUUGUAAACCCCUUUCAGUAGGGACGAAAAUGACGGUACCUACAGAAGAAGCCCCGGCCAACUACGUGCCAGCAGCCGCGGUAACACGUAGGGGGCAAGCGUUGUCCGGAUUUAUUGGGCGUAAAGAGCUCGUAGGCGGUUCGGUAAGUUGGGUGUGAAACCUCCAGGCUCAACCUGGAGACG